rnacentral:rRNA from 1 species
CCUACGGGAGGCAGCAGUGGGGAAUAUUGCACAAUGGGGGAAACCCUGAUGCAGCGACGCCGCGUGAGUGAGGAAGUAUUUCGGUAUGUAAAGCUCUAUCAGCAGGGAAGAAAAUGACGGUACCUGACUAAGAAGCCCCGGCUAACUACGUGCCAGCAGCCGCGGUAAUACGUAGGGGGCAAGCGUUAUCCGGAUUUACUGGGUGUAAAGGGAGCGUAGACGGUUAAUCAAGUCAGAAGUGAAAACCCAGGGCUCAACCUUGGGACUGCUUUUGAAACUGAGUAGCUAGAGUGCAGGAGAGGUAAGCGGAAUUCCUAGUGUAGCGGUGAAAUGCGUAGAUAUUAGGAGGAACACCAGUGGCGAAGGCGGCUUACUGGACUGUAACUGACGUUGAGGCUCGAAAGCGUGGGGAGCAAACAGGAUUAGAUACCCUUGUAGUC